rnacentral:misc_RNA from 1 species
GAAAUGCGAUAAGUAAUGUGAAUUGCAGAAUUCAGUGAAUCAUCGAAUCUUUGAACGCACCUUGCGCUCCUCGGCAUUCCGUGGAGCAUGCCUGUUUGAGUGUCGUGAAAUUCUCAACCCCUCAUCCCUUGCGGGAAGGGUGGGCUUGGAUUUGGAGGCUUUGCCGGCGAUGUCGUUGGCUCCUCUCAAAAGCAUUAGCCCAGUUCCUUACGGAUCGGCUCCCGACGUGAUAGUUGUCUACGUCGUGACUGUGAAGUGCCUGGCGGGCUUCUAAUCGUCCCUAGCGGGACAAUCACUUUGAAUCUGACCUCAAAUCAGGUAGGACUACCCGCUGAACUUAA